UUGCCUCGCUAAUUGGAACCUAAUGGAUCCUACACCGAGUAAGGAUGAAAGUGAAGAAAUAUAAAUGAGAUGGAUAAGCAAUUAAAUGGUUUAAUUGAGAAUGAUCAAGAUUAAUAAAUUAAUUAAUUAAUUAUACAAAAGGUUCGUAUUGGGCUUUCAAUUUAGUUUCAGGUCUCGGGGGCCCAAAAGUGUUUUGGUCCACAAGGCCCAUUAUGUCUAAGUUGUAUGAAAACUAAAGCAAAAUGGGCAAUUAGCCCAAUAACAAAGUCAAGGCUGGCCAUAAGGGUGAGUGGAAGCAAACUUGGAUUAAUUGCAAGUUUGCCACUCACAUGUGAGGUAGUAUAAAGUCAUCUUUAUAGCUUUUACUCACUAGGGUUUUCUUG
rnacentral:lncRNA from 1 species